UCCUACGGGAGGCAGCAGUGGGGAAUAUUGCACAAUGGGCGCAAGCCUGAUGCAGCAACGCCGCGUGAGGGACGAAGGCCUUCGGGUUGUAAACCUCUUUUAGUAGGGAAGAAGCGACUGGGUUUUCCUGGGAGUGACGGUACCUGCAGAAAAAGCACCGGCUAACUACGUGCCAGCAGCCGCGGUAAUACGUAGGGUGCAAGCGUUGUCCGGAAUUAUUGGGCGUAAAGAGCUCGUAGGCGGUUUGUCGCGUCUGCUGUGAAAACCCGAGGCUCAACCUCGGGCCUGCAGUGGGUACGGGCAGACUAGAGUGCGGUAGGGGAGAUUGGAAUUCCUGGUGUAGCGGUGGAAUGCGCAGAUAUCAGGAGGAACACCAAUGGCGAAGGCAGAUCUCUGGGCCGUAACUGACGCUGAGGAGCGAAAGCAUGGGGAGCGAACAGGAUUAGAUACCCUGGUAGUCCAUGCCGUAAACGUUGGGAACUAGAUGUGGGGACCAUUCCACGGUCUCCGUGUCGCAGCUAACGCAUUAAGUUCCCCGCCUGGGGAGUACGGCCGCAAGGCUAAAACUCAAAGGAAUUGACGGGGGCCCGCACAAGCGGCGGAGCAUGCGGAUUAAUUCGAUGCAACGCGAAGAACCUUACCAAGGCUUGACAUAUACCGGAAACGGCUGGAAACAGUCGCCCCGCAAGGUCGGUAUACAGGUGGUGCAUGGUUGUCGUCAGCUCGUGUCGUGAGAUGUUGGGUUAAGUCCCGCAACGAGCGCAACCCUCGUCCUAUGUUGCCAGCACGUAAUGGUGGGAACUCAUGGGAUACUGCCGGGGUCAACUCGGAGGAAGGUGGGGAUGACGUCAAAUCAUCAUGCCCCUUAUGUCUUGGGCUUCACGCAUGCUACAAUGGCCGGUACAAAGGGCUGCGAUACCGCAAGGUGGAGCGAAUCCCAAAAAGCCGGUCUCAGUUCGGAUUGAGGUCUGCAACUCGACCUCAUGAAGUCGGAGUCGCUAGAAAUCGCAGAUCAGCAACGCUGCGGUGAAUACGUUCCCGGGCCUUGUACACACCGCC
rnacentral:rRNA from 1 species